rnacentral:rRNA from 1 species
GUCAAGAAAAGUCUCUAUCGAGGUUAAAGGUACCCGUACCGCAAACCGACACAGGUGGGUGAGGAGAGUAUCCUAAGGCCAGCGAGAGAACUGUUGUUAAGGAACUCGGCAAAAUGACCCCGUAACUGAGGGAUAAGGGGUGCCACCAUCAGGUGGCCGCAGAGAAUAGGCCCAAGCGACUGUUUACCAAAAACAUAGGUU